rnacentral:rRNA from 1 species
CAGCAGCCGCGGGAAUACGAAGGGUGCAAGCGUUAAUCGGAUUUACUGGGCGUAAAGCGUGCGUAGGCGGCUUUUUAAGUCGGAUGUGAAAUCCCUAAGCUUAACUUAGGAAUUGCAUUCGAUACUGGGAAGCUAGAGUGUGGGAGAGGAUGGUAGAAUUCCAGGUGUAGCGGUGAAAUGCGUAGAGAUCUGGAGGAAUACCGAUGGCGAAGGCAGCCAUCUGGCCUAAUACUGACGCUGAGGUACGAAAGCAUGGGGAGCAAACAGGAUUAGAUACCCCAGUAGUCCCUGUCUCUUAUAC